rnacentral:rRNA from 1 species
GCGGGAUUACCCGCUGAGUUUAAGCAUAUCAAUAAGCGGAG